AGAGCGAACGCUGGCGGCAGGCCUAACACAUGCAAGUCGAGCGCCUGUAGCAAUACAGGAGCGGCAGACGGGAGAGUAACACGUGGGAACGUACCCUUCAGUUCGGAACAACCAAGGGAAACUUUGGCUAAUACCGAAUACGUCCGUAAGGAGAAAGAUUUAUCGCUGAAGGAUCGGCCCGCGUCUGAUUAGCUAGUUGGUGAGGUAACGGCUCACCAAGGCGACGAUCAGUAGCUGGUCUGAGAGGAUGAUCAGCCUCACUGGGACUGAGACACGGCCCAGACUCCUACGGGAGCAGCAGUGGGAAUAUGGACAAUGGGCGCAAGCCUGAUCCAGCCAUGCCGCGUGAUGAUGAAGGCCCUAGGGUUGUAAAGUCCGUUUAGGACGGGAAGAGUAAGUGACGGUACCCGUAGACGGAACGCCCCGGACUAACGUCGUGCCAGCAGCCG
rnacentral:rRNA from 1 species